rnacentral:rRNA from 1 species
UACGAAGGGGGCUAGCGUUGCUCGGAAUCACUGGGCGUAAAGCGCACGUAGGCGGAUCUUUAAGUCGGAGGUGAAAUCCUGGAGCUCAACUCCAGAACUGCCUUCGAUACUGAGGGUCUCGAGUCCGGGAGAGGUGAGUGGAACUGCGAGUGUAGAGGUGAAAUUCGUAGAUAUUCGCAAGAACACCAGUGGCGAAGGCGGCUCACUGGCCCGGUACUGACGCUGAGGUGCGAAAGCGUGGGGAGCAAACAGG